UGGGGAAUCUUGGACAAUGGGCGCAAGCCUGAUCCAGCCAUGCCGCGUGAGUGAAGAAGGCCUUCGGGUUGUAAAGCUCUUUUACCAGGGACGAUAAUGACGGUACCUGGAGAAUAAGCCCCGGCUAAUUUCGUGCCAGCAGCCGCGGUAAUACGAAAGGGGCUAGCGUUGUUCGGAAUUACUGGGCGUAAAGCGCACGUAGGCGGCCUUGUAAGAUGGGGGUGAAAUCCCUGGGCUCAACCCAGGAACUGCCUUCAUGACUGCAAAGCUUGAGGAUGUGAGAGGUUGGCGGAAUUCCGAGUGUAGAGGUGAAAUUCGUAGAUAUUCGGAAGAACACCAGUGGCGAAGGCGGCCAACUGGCACAUUUCUGACGCUGAGGUGCGAAAGCGUGGGGAGCAAACAGGAUUAGAUACCCAAGUAGUCCCUGAGCGGGCUGGCAAGGCGCAU
rnacentral:rRNA from 1 species